rnacentral:rRNA from 1 species
UACGUAGGUCACAAGCGUUGUCCGGAUUUAUUGGGCGUAAAGGGAGCGCAGGCGGUUUGUUAAGUCUGAUGUGAAAGGCCACGGCUCAACCGUGGAGGUGCAUUGGAAACUGGCAAACUUGAGUGCAGAAGAGGAAAGUGGAAUUCCAUGUGUAGCGGUGAAAUGCGUAGAUAUAUGGAGGAACACCAGUGGCGAAGGCGACUUUCUGGUCUGUAACUGACACUGAGGCUCGAAAGCGUGGGGAGCGAACAGGAUUAGAUA